rnacentral:rRNA from 1 species
AAAGGAAUAAUACGCAAUGAGCGAAAGCCUGACGCAGCGACGCCGCGUGGGGGAUGAAGGUCUUCGGAUUGUAAACCCCUUUCGGGAGGGAAGAUGGGAUGGGGUAACCCAUUCGGACGGUACCUCCAGAAGCAGCCACGUCUAACUUCGUGCCAGCAGCCGCGGUAAUAAUAAGGUGGCAAGCGUUGUUCGGAUUUACUGGGCGUACAGGGAGCGUAGGCGGU